GUGCUCACUUCGGCAGCACAUACACUGAAUUGGAAUGACACAGAGAUUAGCAUGGCCCCUGAGCAAGGACAACAUGCAGAUUCAUAAAGCAUUCCAUGGCUUU